rnacentral:rRNA from 1 species
UGUCUCCAACAUAGACUCAGUGAAAUUGAAUUCCCCGUGAAGAUGCGGGGUUCCUGCGGUCAGACGGAAAGACCCCGUGCACCUUUACUAUAGCUUUACACUGGCAUUCGUGUCGGCAUGUGUAGGAUAGGUGGUAGGCUUUGAAGCGGGGACGCCAGUUCUCGUGGAGCCAUCCUUGAAAUACCACCCUUAUCGUCAUGGAUGUCUAACCGCGGUCCGUCAUCCGGAUCCGGGACAGUGUAUGGUGAAAUAGAUCGACUGGNGUGGUCGCCUCCGAAAGAGUAACGGAGGCGCGCGAUGGUGGGCUCAGAGNGGUCGGAAAUCGCUCGUCGAGUGCAAUGGNAUAAGCCCGUCUGACUGCGAGACUGACAAGUCGAGCAGAGNUGNUAGUCGGUCAUAGUGAUCCGGNGGNCCCGCGUGGAAGGGUCAUCGAUCAANGGAUAANAGGUANGCCGGGGCAUAACAGGCUGAUGACCCCCANGUAGUCCAUAUCGACGGUGUUNGUCUGGGUACCUNGAUG